rnacentral:lncRNA from 1 species
CUAAGCUUUGGCCACACCUAGACUUGAACCAAACACACCCCAAAUGUCUACAUUAGACCUGCAACCCCAAAAGUUGAAACCUUUUUUUCUUUUUUCUUUCUCAUGCCACGCUCAACCAAUUUUCAAUAAUAUAAGGUAGCUAGUAUCGAAGUGUUGCAUAUGCUGGGUGCAUGGAUGUAAUAACUUAAGAAAUAAAGAUGAUACUCGAAGUCGUAAAAGUCCUUGUGGCAUAAGUACCAUGCAAUCCGAUAAUAUAUAAAGCCAGUUUUAAUUGAGGUUUUAUAAGAAAAAUUUAUGAACACUAAAUAAACUAGUGGCAUAGUAUUAAUGAACAG